AGCGAAGCCCCUGCUCUGUCGUAGCAACGUGGCUCCAGUUCCCUUUGCUUCACGGUUUGCGGUUCUGGUGCACCGCGCGGCGCUCACCUGCCUCGGUCCCGUGGACAGCAGCAGCCCCUCCGCCAGGCCCGGUGGACAGAGGGCUGGAGAGAGAGGAAGGGCACGCGAUUAGAAUCCUAGUCUCCUGCCUCGCUCCUCACUCGUGCUCCAGGCCACUCAUUCCCUACCUUGCCCGAGCUUCUGUUCUCAUUCACGGAACCGGUUGCUAAACCCAGCAGAGUGAGCUUCUACCGAGGGGGGCAGUGUUCCCAGGCCAGGCCACCCGGCGUCCCUGCGCCCAGACAGCGUGCGUCCCAGCGAGAGCUGGGAGACGGCUGACACAACCCGUGAGCUGGGACUCAGCAGCCUCUCCCCGAAGCCUAGAAGGAUGCCUGCUACCUAGUCGGCUUUCAGCCUCACUCACGGCGUGACUGAGUGAUGAAGAGACGAGUACGGGCUGGAAGACCCCCAGGCCCAUGCCCGUUGCACAAGGCAGGCUUUGCUUUACGCGUGUGGACGAGAGUCUUGUUUUUGUCUUUCGUCAUCGUGCGAGUCUGUAUUCUUAGACAGUGUUAGUGCUCGCUCGUCGCAACCGAGGUAACGUGGCGACAGAAACAUUUUGACAGAGCUUAAAAAGCCUCGCUAGAUAAGCAUGAAAGACUAGUCAAGGACGAGAGAGAAAGAAGACAGAAUUCAUUACUGCGCAAUUAAUCGAAAGUUCAGAUUUGCAGAAUGGCAGUUGGGACCCUUGGGCCCGUGAAGAGGCUUCUGUCUUGAUGAGAGAGCUACAGACUGUCAAAUAUUAAUGUUGCAAGAUCAAGUGCAGGGGCUAUUUCCGUGCCUCCCAUGAAGGGUGAGGUGAGAAGCCUUCCUGGGAAUUAACGAGGACCGAGAGGCCAGAGGGGGCCCUGGCGCAUGUCAGCAGGAGGAUGAGGGCACCUGCAGGUGCGGAAGGUAGACCCCGGCUCAAAUUCUGGUCCCGGCUCUGGGACUGCGAACUAGUGACCUGGUGCCAUUUGCUGGACUCCUACCUACCCUCAGUUACCUCGUGCGUGAGCUGGGAUCGGGUUCCCCGCCCCCCCCCCCUUGCGUCAGACCUGGUCUGCGCAGCACCAUUAGGAGACCCCCAUCGAGGUGGAGCUCUGCAGCCUGGGAGGCACUGUGCGCACCGACCACAUCACCGGAAGGCGUCUGGACGGGUGACGGCGGAAGGCAGCUCAAGCCGGGCGUGCUGGGGAGCGCGCGAGCUCCGGGCUCCGGAAGCCAAACGGCGCUCACCUCCGCUCCAGACGGCGACAAUGGAAGGACUUCGCUUAGACUGUACUCGGUCAGAAAGAGUGUUUCUCCGCCCUGCCUUGCAUUGGCAGUCCUCACGUCAACCUUUACAUUUAUUUUGCGCG